ACGUAGGUGGCGAGCGUUGUCCGGAAUUACUGGGCGUAAAGGGCGCGCAGGCGGUUCGUUAAGUCCAAGGUGAAAUCCCACGGCUCAACUGUGGGGGGACCCUGGAUACUGGCGGGCUGGAGUGCGGGAGAGGGAAGCGGAAUUCCACGUGUAGCGGUGAAAUGUAUAGAUAUGUGGAGGAACACCGGUGGCGAAGGCGGCUACCUGGACCGUAACUGACGGUGAGGAGCGAAAGCUGGGGGAGCGAACAG
rnacentral:rRNA from 1 species